GGAGAGAGUCUGUGGCUCAGUGGUAGAGCAUCUGCUUCGUGUGCAGAUGGCCCCGGGUUCAAUCCGUGGCAUCUCCA
rnacentral:tRNA from 1 species